rnacentral:rRNA from 1 species
UACGUAGGCAGCGAGCGUUGUUCGGAUUUACUGGGCGUAAAGGGCGCGCAGGCGGUCUUGAAAGUCAGGCGUGAAAGCCCCGGGCUUAACCUGGGAAUUGCGCUUGAUACUCUGAGACUGGAGUACGGGAGAGGAGAGUGGAAUUCCCAGUGUAGAGGUGAAAUUCGUAGAUAUUGGGAAGAACACCAGUGGCGAAGGCGGCUCUCUGGACCGUAACUGACGCUGAGGCGCGAAAGCGUGGGGAGCAAACAGG